AAUUUUUGACAAUGGGGGCAACCCUGAUCCAGCCAUUCCGCGUGUGUGAAGAAGGUCUUCGGAUUGUAAAGCACUUUAAGUUGGGAGGAAGGGCUUUAGGCUAAUACCCUGAAGUUUUGACGUUACCAAAAGAAUAAGCACCGGCUACCUCUGUGCCAGCCGCCGCGGUAACACAGAGGGUGGAAGCGUUAAUCGGAAUUACUGGGCGUAAAGCGCGCGUAGGUGGGUCAGUAAGAUGGGUGUGAAAUCCCCGGGCUUAACCUGGGAACUGCUUUCAUAACUGCUGAGCUAGAGUACGGUAGAGGGUAGUGGAAUUUCCUGUGUAGCGGUGAAAUGCGUAGAUAUAGGAAGGAACACCAGUGGCGAAGGCGACUACCUGGACUGAUACUGACACUGAGGUGCGAAAGCGUGGGGAGCAAACA
rnacentral:rRNA from 1 species